GACGAACGCUGGCGGCGUGCCUAAUACAUGCAAGUAGAACGCUGAAGAGAGGAGCUUGCUCUUCUUGGAUGAGUUGCGAACGGGUGAGUAACGCGUAGGUAACCUGCCUGGUAGCGGGGGAUAACUAUUGGAAACGAUAGCUAAUACCGCAUAAAAUGGAUUAUCGCAUGAUAAUCCAUUGAAAGGUGCAAAUGCAUCACUACCAGAUGGACCUGCGUUGUAUUAGCUAGUUGGUGGGGUAACGGCUCACCAAGGCGACGAUACAUAGCCGACCUGAGAGGGUGAUCGGCCACACUGGGACUGAGACACGGCCCAGACUCCUACGGGAGGCAGCAGUAGGGAAUCUUCGGCAAUGGACGGAAGUCUGACCGAGCAACGCCGCGUGAGUGAAGAAGGUUUUCGGAUCGUAAAGCUCUGUUGUAAGAGAAGAACGAGUGUGAGAGUGGAAAGUUCACACUGUGACGAUAUCUUACCAGAAAGGGACGGCUAACUACGUG
rnacentral:rRNA from 1 species